GGGGUUGUGGCUCAAUGGUAGAGUGCUUGCCUAGCAUGCAUGAGGCAUGGGGUUCUAUCCCCAGCACCA
rnacentral:tRNA from 1 species